AUGGGUUUUACUAAAUCAAAAUUGUGGUUCUUUAGUGAUUUAUUUUAGAUUUGAAAUUCUUAUAAUUUUGACUCAUUCUAAGUAUUUCUUAUUGCCGAGCCAUAGUAAUUGCACCUAUUAAAGAAACUAGAAGAAUUAUGGAAAUGAGUUCAAAUGGAAGAUAAAAAUCGGUUGCUAAAUGAAUCCCAAUUUGUUGAACGUUAUUUAUGAGACCCCUCGCAAAAGGGGGUCGCAGUGACCAGGCCCGGGCGACUGUUUACCAAAAACACAGGUCUCCGCAAAGUCGUAAGACCAUGUAUGGGGGCUGAUGCCUGCCCAGUGCCGGAAGGUCAAGGAAGUUGGUGAACUGAUGACAGGGAAGCCGACGACCGAAGCCCCGGUGAACGGCGGCCGUAACUAUAACGGUCCUAAGGUAGCGAAAUUCCUUGUCGGGUAAGUUCCGACCCGCACGAAAGGCGUAACGAUCUGGGCACUGUCUCGGAGAGAGACUCGGUGAAAUAGACAUGUCUGUGAAGAUGCGGACUACCUGCACCUAGACAGAAAGACCCUAUGAAGCUUUACUGUUCCCUGGGAUUGGCUUUGGGCCUUUCCUGCGCAGCUUAGGUGGAAGGCGAAGAAGGCCCCCUUCCGGGGGGGCCCGAGCCAUCAGUGAGAUACCACUCUGGAAGAGCUCGGAUUCUAACCUUGUGUCAGACCCGCGGGCCAAGGGACAGUCUCAGGUAGACAGUUUCAGUGGUUUAGUAUGGAACAUUGUCUUUUCCAAGUAAAAACCCCUAGUAUAUGAAAGAAUGAAAAGGUGCUUUCGUUCUUUUCUUGUGGAAUAAGAAGCCCUCGUACCUUAAUGAAAGGAAAAUAGGAAUUUUUCAUUAGGUAUUUGACCAAAUAGGAUCGUCCAGUUCCUAUAGAACC
rnacentral:ncRNA from 1 species